GGGCACAUGGUGUAGUUGGUUAUCACGCUCGCUUAGCACUUAAAACCUUGUGUUACAUGCGAGAGGUGUUGGGUUCAAUUCCCAAUGCGUCCA